rnacentral:rRNA from 1 species
UACAUGGGGUGCAAACGUUGCUCGGAAUUAUUGGGCGUAAAGCGCGCGUAGGCGGUUACUUAAGUCGGAUGUGAAAGCCCUCGGCUUAACUGAAGAAGUGCACCCGAAACUGAGUAGCUAGAGUACGAAAGAGGGUCGCGGAAUUCCCGGUGUAGAGGUGAAAUUCGUAGAUAUCAAAAAAAACACCGAUAGCGAAGGCGGCGACCUGGGUCGAGACUGACGCUGAGGCGCGAAAGCGUAGGGAGCAAACAGG